CGAGAAAGCCCGCAAGGGUGAGUAAAGCGGCGCACGGGUGCGUAACACGUGGGUAAUCUGCCCUGGAGUCUGGAAUAACUCGCCGAAAGGCGUGCUAAUGCCGGAUGAGACCACGGGAGCCUCGGCUCCUGCGGGAAAAGGUGGCCUCUGUAUACAAGCUAUCGCUCUAGGAUGAGCCCGCGGCCCAUCAGCUAGUUGGCGGGGUAAUGGCCCACCAAGGCUACGACGGGUAGCUGGUCUGAGAGGACGAUCAGCCACACUGGAACUGAGACACGGUCCAGACUCCUACGGGAGGCAGCAGUGGGGAAUCUUGCGCAAUGGGCGAAAGCCUGACGCAGCAACGCCGCGUGUGUGAUGAAGGUCUUCGGAUCGUAAAGCACUGUCGCGAGGGACG
rnacentral:rRNA from 1 species